GGAGAGGUAUCGAAGUGGUCAUAACGGGGCGCACUCGAAAUGCGUUUGGGAGCAAUCCCACGUGGGUUCGAAUCCCACCCUUUCCGCCA
rnacentral:tRNA from 1 species